AAACUGGGAUUAGAUACCCCACUAUGCCUGCCUGUAAAUUACCAGCCAAAAAAGUAUGAGCCCCGCUUAAAACUUAAAGGACCUGGCGGUACUCUAUAUCAACCUAGAGGGGCCUGUCCUAUAACCGAUAAUCCACGAAAAACCUUACCACUCCUUGCCUCCAGCCUAUAUACCGCCGUCUUCAGCACAUUUCCCAAAAAAUGAAGCUAAAUAGUCCCACACACUAGCACGUCAGGUCAAGGUGUAGCUAAUGGAGCGGAAGAGGCGGACCACAAUACCACAACACACGGAAACCCCAUUGAAACAUGAGGAAAAAGAUGAAUUUAGCAGUAAGUGGGGCCGAACGCCCCACUGAACCACCCGCCCUAGAGUACGCACACACCGCCCGUCACCCU
rnacentral:rRNA from 1 species